ACAGAAUAUUGCGAGUGCCAUAUUUCCGUUUCUUUCACGAAGCAUAUGGUUAGCAAAGGAAUAGGGCUAAAACAGAAAGGGUUUGCUCAUUUUAGAGUUCCUCAAUAAGAAUAACUUGUGUACGUUGUGCAAAGUACAGUUACUUUUAUGCCUAUCUUAUAUGAAAGUGCACCUUUAUAGAUUUGUUCUACGUGUUUUGUGAUAUCUAUAUUUUAUUUUGCUCUAGGAAUGCUCGAGACCGUGCGCCCAACCGAAUGUCGAAGACAGCAGCGCGUAAAUGCUGACAGUCCAACAUGCAUAUGAAAGUCUUAUUGCCUUGCAUAUUCGGUGUCUCCAUCCUGAACGCUGCAGCCUUCACUAUUAAGAGGUGUGGCCGUGACCUGAAGACUGGCGACUUUUGUAUGGUUCCUUACUGCAAUGGUACGUGCUAUGAUGACGUGUGCGUCUGCCCUUGGGAAAAAAAGCCAUUUUCACUUCCCGCGGCGAUGGUAAAUGCGUCCACGCUUAAGAAGGUGCCGUCAGAAAGUUCGACAGCAACUCGGCCAUUGACACCUCAGCGUCCGUCCAGCCCGCCUGCAGAGACGCUGCCAAUCCAAUCGCCGGGGCCUCUAACACUGGUCACUAAAACACAACCGUUCAAAAGGCAUAUAAGUAGGCUGCCUGGAAGUGCGACUGUAGAACCUACCACGCAAAGGAUGACUACCAAAUUUCCAAAGAAGAAAAAUCCUCGCCACUGCAAGUGUCAUGGGAGAUGAUUACGCCGAAAGAACCGUCAUUUCUCUGUAAAAAUCCAUGAGAAUGAUAUGGCAGUAACAUUUAUUGCACAAUGCAA